UACGUAUGGAGCAAGCGUUAUCCGGAUUUACUGGGUGUAAAGGGUGCGUAGGUGGCAGUGCAAGUCAGAUGUGAAAGGCCGGGGCUCAACCCCGGAGCUGCAUUUGAAACUGCGCGGCUAGAGUACAGGAGAGGCAGGCGGAAUUCCUAGUGUAGCGGUGAAAUGCGUAGAUAUUAGGAGGAACACCAGUGGCGAAGGCGGCCUGCUGGACUGUUACUGACACUGAGGCACGAAAGCGUGGGGAGCAAACAGGAUUAGAUACCCCGGUAGUCCGGCUACGCU
rnacentral:rRNA from 1 species